GACGAACGCUGGCGGCGUGCCUAAUACAUGCAAGUCGAACGCAGUGGGGACGGGUGAGUAACACGUGGGUAACCUCCCAUCAGAGGGGAUAAAACUUGGAAACAGGUGCUAAACCGAUACGGAUGGAUGGACCCGCGGUGCAUUAGCUAGUUGGUGAGGUAACGGCUAACCAAGGCCACGAUCAGUAGCUGGUUUGAGAGGACGACCAGCCACACUGGGACUGAGACACGGCCCAGACUCCUACGGGAGGCAGAAGUGGGGAAUUUUGGACAAUGGGGGAAACCCUGAUCCAGCCAUCCCGCGUGUAUGAUGAAGGCCUUCGGGUUGUAAAGUACUUUUGGCAGAGAAGCGGUAUCUGCAGAAUAAGCACCGGCUAACUACGUGCCAGCAGCCGCGGUAAUUC
rnacentral:rRNA from 1 species